UAUAUUUUAUUCAGGUACAAGUACAUGUAUCAUCUAUGACUAUUGUUUUAGUUUGUUCGAAAGAUCAUACCAUCAUGGCCAUUUUUAUUCCAAUGAUUUCGAUCUUGGGAUUGUUGUGUAAUGUGGUCCUAGGACAGAUUCCCGAAUAUUACGAUGGCAACAGUAUUCUUGCCACUGGAGGCGCAUUAACAACAUCCAGCAACUCCUGGAUUGAAAUGACUGUUUUUGCUGGAGCGGUUCUUUGUUUGUUGUUCUGUGACGUAAAGGACAGUAGCAGCGGAAGUAGUGGAGGUGGCGGAGUCGCAACGACCUAAACGUCAACUUCUGUCCGACAUCAAAAAAGAAAGAGAUCGUAGAUGAUAGGCUAUGUAUUUCAUACCAACAUAACAGUUAGUACUUCAUCAAUGGUCAGCAUUUUUGUAUUGAAUAAAUUAUUACACAUCCCAUCA